CAGCAGCCGCGGGAAAUACGUAGGGCGCAAGCGUUGUCCGGAAUUAUUGGGCGUAAAGAGCUCGUAGGCGGUCUGUCGCGUCUGGUGUGAAAUCCCGAGGCUCAACCUCGGGCUUGCAUCGGGUACGGGCAGACUAGAGUGCGGUAGGGGAGACUGGAAUUCCUGGUGUAGCGGUGGAAUGCGCAGAUAUCAGGAGGAACACCGAUGGCGAAGGCAGGUCUCUGGGCCGCAACUGACGCUGAGGAGCGAAAGCAUGGGGAGCGAACAGGAUUAGAUACCCCUGUAGUCCCUGUCUCUUAUU
rnacentral:rRNA from 1 species